GUGUUUUAAUUUCUUCUAGUUUUCUGGAUUACUGUAACCACAACCUAAAUACUUUUUAUUAUGUAUGAUGACGUCUUAAAUUAUAUAAUUAUACGUUAUAUUUUGGGAUGUCACAAUUUAGUCCUUAGUCUUUUUUAGUUUAGUUUUUUUUUUUUUUGAAGUUUGUUUUAUUUUUAUUUUUUUUCUUAAUAAAAUUGUAAUUUUUAAUCUUUUAUGACGUUAAUUUUUUUUUACAUGGUUAGAGAUUCUAAUUUUGUUUCUGAGUA
rnacentral:lncRNA from 1 species